rnacentral:tRNA from 1 species
AAAAUUUUAGUUUAUUUAAUAAAAUUUCUUAGUUACAUUAAGAAGAAUAAAUAAAAAUUUA